UCAUGAAGCUAGCUGGUGAGUCUAGUUGGUUUGGGCCGGGAAGCAGAAUUAUUAUCACAACUAGGAACACCCAUUUCUUAACUCUCCAAACUGACUACCAAGAUGACAAUAUCAUCCCAUUUAAUCACCAAGAUUUCUAUUUUUAUGAAAUGAAGAUAAUGGAGUUAGGCCACGCUCUUCAACUAUUCAGCAAGCACUCCUUCAACAGUGAUUCACCUCCACGUGAUUACGUCAGUAUUUCAUAUGAAUUUGUCAAUACUAGUGGAAGACUACCAUUGGCACUUGAGGUCAUAGGUUCAUUUCUUCAUUUAAGAAGCAUGAGAACUUGGAAAGACACAUUGAAGAAGUUGAAAACAAUACCCAACAAGGAAGUCAAGAAAAAGUUGUUGAUAAGUUAUGAAGAAUUGGACUUCUCGCAACAACAAAUUUUUCUCAAUAGUGCAUGUCACUUCAUUGGUGAAGAAAAAAUCCAUGCAUAUUACAUGUGGAAAGCUUGUAAUUUUUUUCCACAUACUGGACUCAAUGUCCUCAUUCAUUUGUCUUUGAUGGAUGCACAAUCAACUCAGAGAUCUUGGAAGAGAGAUUGUCGAGCAAGAAUGCGUUACGAAUCCUGAGGAGCGCAGUAGGCUGUGGUAUCCGAAGACCGCCUCAAAUGUGGUUCAGAAUAACUUGGGAACAAAAAACAUUGUAGCACUCAAACUCACAAGACUUGAUUGUGGGCAUAAUUUUACGAGUGGCAAAUUUUCCAGGCUGCCAAGUUUAAGGUUCCUUGAAAUUAAGGUUCCUUGAAUUGGAUGGAGGAAGCUUUGUCGGAGACUUCAAAAAUCUUCUCUCUAAUCUAACAUGGCUCUGUUGGCGUCAUUGCCCUUCAGAACUACAUGCCACCGGUUUACUUAGCUUGGCUACUUGAAUCGUUGUAAGGCCACUUGUGCUACAAUUCUCAAUAUCUUUCUGUAUUUCAUCCCCUCCAUUCACAUCAAACACAGAAUUGAGAGAUUUUUGACCA